rnacentral:rRNA from 1 species
AAAUUUGAGAGCGGCGUACGGGUGCGGAACACGUGUGCAACCUGCCUUUAUCUGGAGGAUAGCCUUUCGAAAGGAAGAUUAAUACUCCAUAAUAUACAAGAUGGCAUCAUUUAGUAUUGAAAGCUCCGGCGGAUAAAGAUGGGCACGCGCAAGAUUAGAUAGUUGGUGAGGUAACGGCUCACCAAGUCUGCGAUCUUUAGGGGGCCUGAGAGGGUGGUCCCCCACACUGGUACUGAGACACGGACCAGACUCCUACGGGAGGCAGCAGUGAGGAAUAUUGGACAAUGGGUGCAAGCCUGAUCCAGCCAUCCCGCGUGAAGGAUUAAGGACCUAUGGUUUGUAAACUUCUUUUGUACAGGGAUAAACCAUUCUACGUGUAGAAUGCUGAAGGUACUGUACGAAUAAGCACCGGCUAACUCCGUGCCAGCAGCCGCGGUAAUACGGAGGGUGCAAGCGUUAUCCGGAUUUAUUGGGUUUAAAGGGUCCGUAGGCGGAUCUAUAAGUCAGUGGUGAAAGCCGACAGCUUAACUGUCGAACUGCCGUUGAUACUGUAGGUCUUGAGUAAAUUUGAAGUGGCUGGAAUAAGUAGUGUAGCGGUGAAAUGCAUAGAUAUUACUUAGAACACCAAUUGCGAAGGCAGGUCACUAAGAUUUAACUGACGCUGAUGGACGAAAGCGUGGGGAGCGAACAGGAUUAGAUACCCUGGUAGUCCACGCCGUAAACGAUGCUAACUCGUUUUUGGAUUUUCGGAUUCAGAGACCAAGCGAAAGUGAUAAGUUAGCCACCUGGGGAGUACGGGCGCAAGCCUGAAACUCAAAGGAAUUGACGGGGGCC